AUAAACCCCAAAUCAAUCAAAAUGUUGCAGUCACUCCUAUUUUCAGAAUUAUAUAGUUUGGUUGGAGGAGAUUCCCUCCGAACUCAAUUGUAAUUUUUAAUUUCGUUUAAUUAAUGUUCUAUUAUCUUUAAAAGGAAAAUGAGUAAGAAAAUUUAAAGUACGUGUAAAAUCUUUUUAGUUAGUUCUCACACUCUCAGUAAUAAUAACAUUUUAGUGCUAAGUAAGACCAACAUACUGUAUCCUUUGUACACUCAUCAAAUAAGAUCUUACCACAUAACAUUUAUUUAUACCAGACCAAUCAUAUUAAUGCUAAGAAUAAAUGAAAAAGGAAAAAAAAUACACACACCAACAUGAUAUAGAUUUUUGAAAGUUUCCUAUUUAAGGUUUUCUCUCGAAAAAGAAAACUUAUGGAUUCUUUUCAUGGAAAGAAGGAAUUCAAAAAAUGAAAUCUGAGUUUGUUUUUCUACUUUUUAAGGAAACAGGCAAACAGCUUAUAGAAGAUCCAAACCUAUCCAUUUUUAUGAGGAAGAAGAUCUCCAAUAUACAGAAUUAUGUUAUUAUUUUCUUUAGAGUUUGGAGAUCAUAUGACAACCUGUUCGUAAGAUAAGUGUAUCACGUAAAUGACAAUCCAUUAAAUGCACCAAAUUUCUUUCAUUCUAUUGUCUAUUAAGUUUUAUGUAUUGUGUUAUAUAAAUAGAUUAACAUGUUACACUUAUUUGGGCUAUCCUAACUUCAGGUGUCAAGAGUCAUGGCAUAUAAAUCGAGGCUGUCUCUAACAUUUUUCAUCAUCAUCCUUUUAGCUCAUCUCAUGAACUCUGAGGCUCGAAAUCCCCACAUCAAAGCACCCCCACCACCUAUCGUUGUGGACAAUAUCAAAGCACCACCGCCGCCUAUCGUCGCCGUCGACAACAUCAAAGCACCACCACCACCUACCACCACUGACAACAUCAAAGCCCCGCCGCCACCUGUUAUAUGAAUAAAAAAUUUCAUCCAUAUGCUUAAAGGAGACUGUCAGACUGACACUUUACCCUUACAGUUUUUGGGUUUCAUCACUUACUCUUAUGUAUAAUUUUUAUGUUACAAUGUUAUCUCCUUGACAUCAACCUUUUAGCCAAAAAGAGGAAAAAAAAAAAUUGUGUUUGAGAUUUUUUUUUUAAUUUUGUGUGAAAAUUUUUAUAUAAGAAGGAUAACGGCUGAUGUAUUAUGAAAAUAAUAAGAGUAAGUGAUAAAAAUUCAGAGACUUUAUGGGGAAAAUGUCAUUCUCCUCUUUUUUAUUAUUAUCAUGAACGUGAUCCAUGAUCCGUGAAUAAGAAUUAAGAAGUUGUUGUGAAGAAAAAACAUUCAAACAUUGAGCACAGAGCUAUUCUUCUUCUAAUUAUAAUAUUUCAAUUCUUGGAAGCAUUACGUGUCAUAACAAUGCCAACUUUUAGCAAUUGUGUGUGGCAAAAUUAUGUGAAGGAUCGAACUGCUUAAUUACAGAGCUUGAGAAAAAAGGAAUUAUAGAAAAAGAAAGAAAGUACUGAACUUAAUUUUGAAAUUGAAAAAAGCUUAUAACAAAUCACACCUGUUUUCACUCCAAGUAUUGUACUGCGAAGACAACAAAUCAUACAUAAAGAUAAGAGGAAAAAGAAAAAAAAAAUCAGUUAAAAGUUAAUUUGUUUAUAUAUAUAAAGAGUACGAAAAUUGAUUAAUAACAUGUCAAAACAUUAAUUUUCUUGAGUAAAAAUUAAAUAUAUGAUAUGACACCAAUUCAUACAUUCAAAAUUAUUUAACUAUUCAAAUUUGAGAUUAAAAAAAAAAAAAAGUUCACCUACCUUAUAAACUCUACUCAUUUAUUCUAAAUUAUUAUAUCCAAAUUAUGUGCGGAGUUAAUGUUAAAAAUUUUGUGGAUCAUUGUUUGACAUGGAAAGUGAACUCGCAGUGGCACAUAAGCUAAUCUAUACAUCUCUCGAGUAAACGAAAAAUGGAAUAGUGCCAAAUUAAUUAGUUAGCAUGUGCAUGAAAUGAUAAAAAAAAAAAAAUUGACACGAAUUUUUCAAAAUAAAUUUUUCGAAAUCAUUUGGCAAAUUGUGAUUCUUUUGCUUAUAUUUUUUUAGUAAACCUUUAUCUUCUUUUCAAAAAUAAAUAUAAUUUUCAAUUUUCAAAUUAGUUCAUUAUACCAAAAAAAAAAAAAAAAUGAUAGAUUUUUCAUGCAGCAUUAUGGAAAGCAAUGCUAUUCAUCCUUCAUUGGUACUAGGAGAGUGAUCACUCAAAAUAUUGUAUUGCAAAAACAGCACAUUAUACAGAGGGUCCUCGGAAAGUACAUUUUAUUUAUAUACGAGAAUGUGUGUGUGUGCGCGCGCGCGCGCGUGUUGUGGUUUAAUUAUUAGUAAAAUAAAUUAGAUCAGAUGUUAUUGAUAGAUAUUUUUUAAUCCAAGUCCAAAUUAAAUUUUUGUUACGUUUCACUUUCCAUUUGUCUCACCUCUAGCUUAAACAUAGCCUAGAAGUCAAUGAUCGACAAAUAUUGAAGAAUCUAGAAAAGGACGCGUCCGUCUAUAAUCUAACUUAUUAAUCUUUAUUAUGAUAAACUAUAAAAUAGACCCGCGUUUUACGCGGCUUUGAAAAAAGAAUUUAGUAUUAUCAUUUUUUCUUACUUUACACUUGAUGAAACUGAUAAAAAAUAAGAAUUGAUUUUUUUUUUAAGAUGAGGCAGCCUUAUAAAAAAUAAAAAAAAGCUAUUAGUUAGCAAUACAAAUAAAGAAGCAACGCAAGAUAAAGAAUAAAAUGAGAGAAUAUACUAUAGAGUGAUUUUAUUCAUUCCAAUUGUGUGUGUACAAAACAAAAAGAUGAGCUCUCCUUUUAUAGUUACAUAAUCACUCCAUGAAAUUAAUGAAAAAUUAUGGAUCAUAAUUUCUUGUGAGAUAGUGAGAGUUAUAGGAAAGCUAAAGGUUGCUAAUGGGAGAUAGUGAGGAGACUAAGAGAUAUAUGUUAUGAACAUUUACAUUUAUUUUAAUAAAUUCAUAACACUCCCCCUUUGAUAUUCAUUACAAAGAAUAUGCCUCAUUAAAAUCUUUACAUAAUUGUUAUUGUAUAAUAACAAUCAAAUUAAUUAUGAGAAGAUAAAAUGCCAAAUCUAAAAGAAAAAUUCUCUAUUUAUUAGAUAAUAGAGAAUAUACAAAGAAGAGAAAUGGUGAUGCCACAUCACCUCCUCAAGUCCAAACUUUAUAUAGAUAUAUAGAUUUGGAAUCGUAAUACAGCAAUGUUAAAUUAAUAAAUUCUUUAUAUAAAUUAGGGAUAAAUCUGUGGUGCAACUGUGGUACCGUGCCACAGUUGCACCCAACCGUUGGAUUUCCACUUAUUUAAGUGGACCCCACUCAUUUGAGUGGAUCCAACGGCUGGUGCAACUGUGGCACGGUACCACAGUUGCAUUGUAGCCUGACCCAUAAAUUAGUUAUUUUCAUAUGUCACAUCAGUUCGUAUGAUAAAUUUGGAAUCGUAAUACAACAAUGUUAAAUUAAUAAAUUCUUUAUAUAAAUUAGUUAUUUUCAUAUGUCACAUCAGCUUGUAUGAAUGGUAUUUUAUAAUUUUAGCAUUAAUCAUCAUGAAAUAAGAUAGCAAAUGAAUUGGUGAUACCAUAUAAGUUAACAUAUCUCGUUGAAUGACAAUUUUCUAAUGAAAUUCGGAAAGUGUGCUGUAGAAGCAAACAAAAGCCAAACAUCACAACCAAUAGUUUGUCAGAGUGGAUUUUGUUUGGAUUUCCCAAUCUAUUGACGUGUAUUAUCCCAAAAUAAUCAUCUACUCAAAAGAUUUUUUCCCCAUAAAAUUUUUGUAUAUAAAUAUGUGAACAUGUAACGGCGUUAGCUUAAAACUCCAACUUAGUAUAAAAGCUAUGGCUUACAUAGGAAAAAUGAGUCUGUCAUUUUUUUCACCAUCAUUUUAGUUCAUUUUGUAAAUUGUGAGGUUCGAAAAUUUUAUUGAUUUGAAGAAGUUUAUAAAAUUGUUAAUAACAAAUGGUCAAAUAAGAGAGAAUUACCUGGAGGACAUGAUCUCCAUCGUCAUGAUACUUCAUCACUAUAUCUUGCUCAUAUAAAGAGAGAAUCGCCUAGAGGGUUUGAUCCCCAUCAUUAUGAUACUCCACUGUUUAAUAUUAUUCAUAUCAGGAGAGAAUCACCUGAGGGGUCUGAUCCCCAUCAUCAUAAUACUCCACUGUUUAAUCUUGUUCAUAUCAAGAGAGAAUCACCUGAAGAGCCUGAUCCCCAUCAUCGUGAUACUCCACCAUUAAAUAUUGCUCAUAUCAAGAGAAAAUUGUCAGGAGGACCUGACCCCAGUUAUCAUGAUACUUCGCUACUAAAUCUUGCUCACAUCAAGAGAGAAUCACCUAGAGGCAUUGAUCUUCAUCAUCACGAUAUUCUGCCACUAAAUCUUUGCUCAUAUUAAGAGAGAAUCACCCGAAAGACCCGAUCGACAUCAUCACGACACUCCACCACUAAAUCUUACUCAUGUCAAGAGAGAAUCACCUGGAAGACUUGAUCAUAUUCAUCAUGACACUCCAUCACUUUAUCUUGCUUAUAUCAACAAAGAGACGGCAACCGGCCCUAAGCCCAUUGGUCAUCAUGAU
rnacentral:lncRNA from 1 species